rnacentral:lncRNA from 1 species
AGGGGUAAGACACCGUGCCUGGCCACUAAUAAUAAUAAUUUAAAAAUUUCUGAAAAUGAUUCUGCAUCUGCCAAAUGUGCUGCAUGAAUUCUCAGCAUAACUCAGUGACACAGUUUAAUCCCCAUUUUCCAGAUGCGAAAAUUGAGAUUCAGAGCAGUGUAAUGAACCGAGCUCACACCGCUGGUAGGUGGAGCAGGUGUGCGUGUUUUGUGCUCAUGUAGGGGGUUGGGGAGUGUUCCAGCCAGCCUCUGUGCACCUGGGGUGGGGGUGGAAUGAGGAGGGGGUUGUUGUGAGCCUGAGGGUCGCACUGUCUGUGGUUCUCUCCUUCCUGUCAGCUGAGCCCAGCUCCAGACUCAAGAGGAACGGCUGGGGUGAUACCAUCUCCUGGUUUCUGCGGGGGUGUAUGUGAGUUCCCUCCCCCUGCCCCCAGCUGUGGGACUGUCCCUUCUCACAGCCACCACCAACUGACUUCCCCACAGCCUCCAGAUGAGCAAAAAGGUAAAACUCCGGCAUUUUCCACAUCCUCAGCAUCCUCCACCUCCUCAGCUGUUCGCACCCGUGCUGGGAUGCAGCGUUGCCAUCUGGGAAAUGCAGUCAUAAUCGCCUCAGCAUUGCCAUCUGGGAAAUGCAGUCACAAUCACUGCCCUUUACGCCACAUGUCCCCCACCCUGGUGGGGUCAGAUCAAAGGAAUCAGGAGACAGAAAAAGUUUGCUGGGACUGGGAAGGACAGACACAGGAAAACAGAGCAGUGGGCAAGUGUGGCCCCUCACCGUGGAGCCUGAUUCUAGUACCUCUGUGCUCUUUCCCCACCCAAGUAUUGGGUCCCAGCCUCACUGCUGUUGGGAAUGUGAGACAGCAUCCCAUGACACCCCCAUCCCCCUGCCGCCCCAGUAACUCCCCACCUGGGAUCCCAUGAUGCCCCCAUCCCCCUGCCGCCCCAGUAACUCCCCACCUGGGAUCCCAUGAUGCCCCCAUCCCCCUGCUGCCCCAGUAACUCCCCACCUGGGAUCCCAUGACGCCCCCAUCCCUCUGCUGCCCCAGUAACUCCCCACCUGAGAUCCCAUGUGAGCCCAGGCCUGCGGGCAGGGGAUGGAGUGUGCGAAUGCCUCCCCUGCCCGGCCGCAAGGUCAGAGACAGCCAGAGACACAGUGGACUGCAGAGAUCGAGAGACGCGGUGGGGAGACAAAGAGACGGAUAAAGAGAAGCACAGAGAUGGAGAACGAAGUCAGUCAGAGAGACAGAGAUGCUGGGCCAGAGUGACAGCCAGAAAGCCACGGGAUGCCCAGAAGCAGAGACGUCUGCAGAGAGACAGUGAUGGACAAAGAGAAACAGAAACAAGGCGGGAAACAGGAGGAUCGCUUGAGCCCAGGAGAUCGAGACCAGCCUGGGCAACAAACGAAUAGCGUGAGUCAAGAGAAUCCCCUCACUCAGACACCCAGGUUCGGGUCCCAACUUUGUCGCCGUGUGACCUUGGGCAAAUGACCUCACCUCUGAGCCUCAACGUCUUCUUCUGCAAAAUGGGUUAGUGAUCCUGACUAUGGGGCUGUUGAUUCAGGAUUCGGCGGGAACGCCCAGCACUUCCUGAGUACACAAGAGUGCUGAGAAAAUGG